UCUUCAUUUCACUUACUCUCUCGCCACUCUGAUCGGUGAGAGAGUGUGUGAAAUGAUGAGA
rnacentral:pre_miRNA from 1 species